GUUUUAGCCCUGUUUAAAUACAGGCUUGCAGGGCAUUAUGAUUAAAGUAUAGGUUCAAGGUGAAAUUGAGCAGAGCAGGUUUUGAGCCCAGCCCUGUGCUACAGCUUAUGUUUAUAGAACUCCAAGGGAGAGAGGGAGAGAGGGAGAGAGGGAGAGAGAGGUGUUUAUGCUGUGUGAGAGCUCAGUCUUUUUAAUCUUUGUUCUCUGAGUUGUUUGCAGUUGGUGUUUACCUUCCGUGCAGAGAUCUGGUGGGGCCAGUACAGAAAUCCUUUCUUAGCUGGAGAUUAAAUGAGAUGACUGAGUCUGUACGCUUGACUUGCUGAUGAUUCAGUUCUUUGGCAGCCAUCUUGGGCAGCCGUUUUGGGCAGCCAUCUUGGGCAGCCAUACUCUGUGCAUAUACUCUUAGCCCCAAAGCUGUUUCUCAUGCUGGAUUUACCUACCCCUGAGGGUGGAGAGAACAGCAUCAUUGGCAGGGAAUCUGGACCUUGUGACCACUGCUUCAUCACCUAGCCCUGCAUUUUCACUGGCCCCUUACUGAUAGGGAUUUUCCUUCUUCCAUGAGAGAAAUGAGCAUGACCAUUAUAAAAACAAUAAGGUUAUGGCUAAGGACCACGAACACAUGGGAAACUGUUUUGUUUUUAAUUCUCUGAGGCAUGUAAGCAGAAGUAAGAGUGAAGUGACUGCAGGCUGAUGGCAUUUGGAGAGAUGUAUGUGCAUGUGUAUCAACAUAGCCAUCUCCAUUCAACCCCAAAACUUCCUCCUGCUCCUGAGUGGACAAUAGAUGUCUCUCUGGAGAUAUCCUUUAGAGUCUGUUUACCAUGCUUCACAAAGGCCACUAGGUUUGGUGCUCCUUGGGACAGCAGAAGAAUUUAGCCUUGGAUACAAACUUCUGGUCUACAGAGUAUCAGUGUCUACACUGACAUGUAUUCUAAGUGCAAAGUAUUGCUACCAUACAAAAUGUGGUUAGUGUUCAGACACCUCCAGGAUUCCAAUAUUCCAUGCUAUGUGUGACAUGGGAUACUACAGAUAACGUUAGAUGGGUAAAACUAUUCUUUUUUUUUUUUUACUAUAUUAGACUAUAUUUGAUGAUGCAUAGGUGGAACAAAUUAAUCUAGAGAGAGAAUUCAUGAGGGGAAAGGGGUGCUUAUUUACCAAUCUUUUAAAACCAGAACUCAUGGCAGUUAGGGGAUGAACCUAAAAUCAUAGGGCUGACACAGUUGAGUAGCCUGGGCAGUGAGUGAAAAUCAGCGCACUUGCAGAAAGUAUUCAGAAGUGCCCACAAUUGAAAAACAAACCCAGCGCUUGUAGUUUGCAGGUGACCUGCCACUGUGUCUCUGUGGAGACAUCUAUUUAUAACCAACCUUGUUUCUCUGUCAAAUGGCAGAAACAUGAAUAUGUUAUCUUUCUUCUCUGGUGUGUAUAUAUUAAUAAGCUGGGGGUCUGGGAAAUACUAUUAAUUUCUGUAUCUAAAUACUAUUUAUAAAUAAACUAUAUCCAGCUUUGAAAUAUGUAUCCAAUAUAAAGCAGUUUUUCUAC
rnacentral:lncRNA from 1 species